rnacentral:ncRNA from 1 species
UAAAAUUAUUGGUGCCGCUUAAACACGGAUAAUAGGGAAAAAGGUUUAAAUCCUUUGCUGUACCCGCAACUGUUUUUGAGUGUUUAUAUCAAAUGCCACUGUAAUUACGGGAAGGCGAUAUAAACUAUACUUAUUAGCCAGGAAACCUGCCAAUAAUGU